GAUGAACGCUGGCGGCGUGCCUAAUACAUGCAAGUCGAGCGGACGGACGCUACGCUUGCGUCUCUGAUGUUAGCGGCGGACGUGUGUGUAACACGUGUAUACCCUACCUAUAUUUCUGGGAUCACUUCGGGACACCGGAUCUAAUACCGGAUAAUAUUUUGAACCGCAUGGUUCAAUAGUGAGAGACGGUCUUGCUGUCACUUAUAGCUGGAUCUGGGCUGCAUUAGCUAGUUGGUAAGGUAACGGCUUACCAAGGCAACGAGGCAUAGCCGACCUGAGAGGCGGAUAGGCCACCUGGGAGCUGGGACGCGGUCAAGAGGACUACGGUAGGCAGCAGUAGGGAAUCGUCCGCAAUGGGCGAGAGUCUGACGGAGCAAGGCCGAGUGAGAGAUGAAGGUCUUGGGAGCGUAAAGCCCGGUUAUUAGGUAAGAACAGAUGUGUAAGGAACUGUGCACAGAUUGACGGUAAUGAAUCAGAAAGCCACGGCUAACUACGUG
rnacentral:rRNA from 1 species